AUCAACUCUACAUUAUGUCUCUCAAUAUUUUAUUCACUCUUUUGUUGGAGUUGCAGGAUUGAUCUGCAUCAUCGAUUUCAGAGUGUGUCUGCAUCAGCGAGCUUAUUUCCAGCAGAUUCUGAGUAUGGUGGUUCAGUCUAUCGUCAGUGAUGCGUGGGGGAAAGGCAUGGUGCUCUUUGGUUCGGAGUAG